UUCAUCAUAUCGCCCAGGAGCGCUUAACCCAUCACACAGAUAUUACACAUAAUCAGAGUAGAGAAUGAGCGAAAAGGAUUACAAUAAUAUACUUUACAUUCAUAUAAAAUUAUAGAAAGAGUAGUUAUUACAUAACCGGGUGUUCGAGUGUGGCACUUAUUAUUACAUUACUGGGAGGCAAAACACCCUCCCCAAAUAAGUCUAGCGUUCUUCCUUUUGCUUGGGCACCACCUUGGAGCAGAAACAACAGAACUCAGCUCUUUCAUCACCUACAACAAGAUGGGUUUGAAAACCCUCAGUACGGAGUGUACUUUUGCAAGUCUUACCCGUCAAAGGAAAAGACUCUCAAGGAUAUGCUGGCCUUUGGGAUUCAAGGUAAAGUUUAUCACGAUUCAAAGACUCUGUUUGCAGAAAAGCUUACUAUGAGUGGAUCUUUAAAAAUCUAUUUUUAUUAAUAGGUUAAGUAGUUAUCUGCAUCUAGAAUUCUUUCUAUCCUAGAUCAAGCACUUGGCCUAUAUAUACUAGCCGUCUUUUAUCGACCCUUCAGUUCACUUGAUUGCUACGUGUAAGUCAAUGACCAAGUCUUCAUGUCCGAGAAGUAACGACGAACAGAAUCGAUUAAUACCCAGCUGGGGAUCUCCAACCACACGAAAUAUGUAGCACUUAACCCUUGCAUAUGUCAACUCGCCACCGGGUUUCUCAAGACAAGAAUGGGUUCAUGCCAACCGAGAGCACAGAUACACCACCGCCCAGCAUCUUGCCACAGAGGGUACAUGCUACUCUCGCCAUCUCUCCACUCCCAUUGCGUGGUGGCCUUUCUGCUAUUGGUCCGACCGAAGCAAAGCUUACCCAUGACGAGGCAUGUGGCCAGAUAAAAGGUCCUCGAUCAUCAAGCCUACAUCGGUUUGGUCCUUAAUCGACUUAGAUGGAGACACUACACCGAGACACCCUUCUCAUGAAAGUCACCCGCCCGGUCUCGUUUUUAUCAUUUAAAACCCAAAGUUUGGUACCUGACAGAGGUACUUCUUUUCAGAUGUGGAACCCAUCACGGCCAUGACGGAUUCAUCAUCAUAAGUAUUUUCUUUGUAAAAAUCCCCAUCCAAUAUGAAGCAUCACCUUUUGUUUUAAAACAAAACAUUUUGUUUUUCUAAAGCAAGGCUAAGCAUCAUAAAAAUCCUUUUCAUAACAGGGUAUCAAGGGAUGGUAAUCAAUUUUUCAUGGAAGGAAAUGCAUCAAUUGUUUAUCACACAACUCCUAUCACCUAAUGCAUCAAACAAGGUGAUAAAGAUUUUAAAUCAACAAUGAAAGGGAUAAUGCACCGGGGCUUGCCUUGCGUUGCAAGAGGUUCCGGGUCUACUCCACAGAUGUCGAAGUAGAAGUUGUUAUCGGCUGGAGGUUUCUCAGCUUGAGUGACAACUUCUUCAACCACAGUUUCUUCCUCGUUUUCUAUACAUGACAAUACAUGUACAUGAAUGUUUAUGUGAUGUCAUGAAUAUGCAGUUACAUAAUAGAAACAUACUAAGUUGUAUCUUGAAUACAACUUUCCUUCACGGUAUACACUAAUCACUAGGGUUUCCUAAGUUGGUAUUCUAUUAGUGUUAAGUAAAUUAACUCUAGGAGGCUAGUUAUUGGGGUUGUGACCAAACAGUGUCCGAAUCAUUUCAAACUUCACCCAAGGUUUUCAAUCAUCAUACUAAGCCUACCCAAAAAGUUAUACCAUUUUUGGAGCUACUAAAUUAUUUCUAAAACUCUAAAAGGCUUGGUUUGAGCAUUUUUAAAUGCUACAUAAUUAUAGGUUUGGAAUAAAAAUCUUGGAACUAUUUUUUAUUAAAUACUAGAUAAUUUUAGGAGUCUAGCAAAAUUUGUUUCAUAAUUUUAUCAUUUUUCUACUAUUUCUACACAUUUCCUAAUCUGCCAGCAAAAAGAAAAAGAGAAACAAUGAAUAAUGUUGGGCUCAAUUCAGCCCAAGUCGGCCCGCGAACAGGGAAAACACGUAAGCGCCCACGCUGGCGAAUUUGCGCAGAGACCCUCGACCUAUUAAAUAAACCGUAAAGAGUCCCUAAGCACUAUUCAUAUGUUUCUCUGACCAUUGCACUUAAGCCCCUGCAUUUCUAUUCCUUCACACAUCAAGUCCCUGGCGACGGCACGCCAAGCACAUGGUCGGAGCCGUGCAUACCCAUUGUCGAGGACGUGCUCCGAUGGUGCCGAGCAUGCGGACACCCUCAGGGAUGUAACUCGAGCCUAUUCACGCGCUUAAUUUGGUCAGAGCACCCUUAACUCAGCUACCCGCGGUGGCAGUGGAACCGGAUCACCGGCGUGACUUUACCGGUGCACCCGAGCCGGUCUAGCUAAAUCCAAGGAUGCGGAAGGACUGAGUGGCUUACUAUGGUUAUGGUUCUUGCGCAAACUUGGACGGAAACUACCCGGAACGGCCGGUCUACGUGAGCUAUGUCCGCGGCGGCGUUCUCGGACAGUACCAUCGCCCGUUCUCUACACUAUGGCACGGUAGCGUUCAAUCAGUCGAGACCAAGAGCUGUCCUAGCGUCAAAGGAUGCAUAAACGCAAAUGAGAGGGACAUGAACGGACCUGCAGAUGGCUGGCCACGGCGCGAGGUCACACGGCGGCGUUCUUGGCCGAUUUGGGGGAAAUUCCAAAUUCGGGGGCUGUGUUGGCUAAUCGGGAGCGAGGAACGGUGCACUAGCUUCGUAACAAGAUAGCGGAGCAGGCCGAACACUCAAUUUAUAGAGGGCGACCAUGAGUAC
rnacentral:lncRNA from 1 species